GCGGGGGGCGGGGGGGUAUGUUCUUUGCCUUGUUCUAGUGUAAGAGGUGAGAUUGGAUUGUCCAAGGCUAGGGCAGGGCAUAAGACUAGGGUUCCAUCAGGGCUGGGGGAAAGGGCAGGUGGGGUGCUAAUAAGGACUUGCUGAGUGAUCUGAUGACCAUUAUUAGGAUUAGAAUAUUUGUUUUGUCUCCUUGUGGGGACAGCAUUCUUUUGAGACUGUGCCUGGUGGGUUGCGAGCUUGCCCAGUGGCCCUGGCAGAUCCCUUGUGGCCCCUAUGCCUGCCUGCCAGGACUCAGCUCCCUCGGCCUACCCAGUCCUGCACACUUAGGCCAGUUUGUCUAUGACAAGGAGAGAGAAGAAUGGCUGUUUUGUCCACUUGAUUGCCUUGCUUUCUAGACCAUCUUGGGCCCAAAGGUCUAGGCUUUGCAAACUCUUCACUGCCUCGCUCCUUGGAGGUGCUUGGAAACUUUUUCUCCCCCUGUUUUCUCUGUAAUUGAAAUUUGCCCUUUCGUUACCUGGGCAUGAAUUAUUUUUUGCAGUGUUGUCAUUCCCUAUCCUGCUGUGAGGUUUAUCUCUUCUGUUGAUCCUAAUUAAAUAAAACAUACUGUUCACCUAA
rnacentral:lncRNA from 1 species